rfam:Bacillus circulans strain RIT379 contig28, whole genome shotgun sequence.
GGGCGCCGUAUGAGGUGAAAGUCUCACGUACGGUGCUAACCGGGGGAAAAGUCGGAGAUUACAUCAAAGACUUACCUAUCGGAAC